AUAUUUUUGUUUUCUCAGGGUCAGAAUUCUGCAAACAGUAUUUUAUCAAGCUAACUUUCUCUAACUGCAUAUGCAAAAAGAACCAGUUUGGGAAUUUCAAAAGAGUUUCAUCUUAACCAAUUUUCUCGGGAGUCUAAAGAAUACUCUUGCCAUACAUUGGUAAAAAAAAUCAUCUUUCGUUUUCUUUAGUCAUAAUUUUAUAGCUAAAAGUUUUCGAAUGGAUUGAACCUGAAUUUCCCAUUUUACACAGGACAACGAAGAUAUCAAUCACACAGAUGGAAUACGCACUCACGCACCAAAAGGCAGAUCCGUCACAAAUCCUCUUCAGAGGAUGACCGGUCUGAUCGACGUACAAGAGCUGUACAUAUUGAAUGGAUACAACCUGAUGAAUUCGGAGCAGCCUUGCCCAUUGCUUCCAAGAAGACUCCAGUGUCAAGAGGAAGACAGACCUGGAAAAUGGUGCUGCAGUAAAGAUGGUCCCAAGGGCUGGACACCCAGCGAAGGAAAGGCAAGUAGCCUGGGGACAGGGGCAACAAGUCACUGUCAGCAAGAUUGUCAAGUCUUAGGCUUGUGUUGGAGGGGGGCUGUAUCAGAGGAGCACCAUUUUGAUGCCUGAGAUAAUGCUACCGAAUCAUGCUUUAUGUGACUCUGCAACUGCAGCUCUUUGUGGUAUCCAACACCUUUUCCUUUAUGUUCUCUCAUUUUUUCCUCCCCCCUCUGCCCCAACUGCUGAUAUUUCAGAGACACUAGAGAUUUGUCCAAGAUCACCUUCUAGGCAGGCCUCUUCCCAGCUGCCUUCCAUAGGCACGCAUCCUCUGUUUUAUGAUGGGCACUGUAUUUUAUGAUGGGAACAUGAUGUACCAAAGGACUGGGUGGGGUAUGGAGUGUUUAUUGCCAUUCAUCAUGUCCAACAUCCCGCAGAACUUGAAGGUUCUGGUGCUUUCGGAUCUAAUUGGCUGGAGUUAACAUUGCCUGGCCCUCUUACAGUUUGUACUUCCAGAGCUUUUCAUGUAACACACAUAUCUCUUCGUGGCUUUUGACCGUACCGCUGUGCC